rnacentral:rRNA from 1 species
CUGGCCGUAACUGACGCUGAGGAGCGAAAGGGUGGGGAGCAAACAGGCUUAGAUACCCUGGUAGUCCACCCCGUAAACGUUGGGAACUAGUUGUGGGGUCCAUUCCACGGAUUCCGUGACGCAGCUAACGCAUUAAGUUCCCCGCCUGGGGAGUACGGCCGCAAGGCUAAAACUCAAAGGAAUUGACGGAGACCCGCACAAGCGGCGGAGCAUGCGGAUUAAUUCGAUGCAACGCGAAGAACCUUACCAAGGCUUGACAUAUAGAGGAAACGUCUGGAAACAGUCGCCCCGCAAGGUCUCUACACAGGUGGUGCAUGGUUGUCGUCAGCUCGUGUCGUGAGAUGUUGGGUUAAGUCCCGCAACGAGCGCAACCCUCGUUCUAUGUUGCCAGCACGUAAUGGUGGGAACUCAUGGGAUACUGCCGGGGUCAACUCGGAGGAAGGUGGGGAUGACGUCAAAUCAUCAUGCCCCUUAUGUCUUGGACUUCACGCAUGCUACAAUGGCCGGUACAAAGGGCUGCAAUACCGUAAGGUGGAGCGAAUCCCAAAAAGCCGGUCCCAGUUCGGAUUGAGGUCUGCAACUCGACCUCAUGAAGUCGGAGUCGCUAGUAAUCGCAGAUCAGCAACGCUGCGGUGAAUACGUUCCCGGGU